ACUGCGAUUCUGCUAAGAGAACCCAUUUGAUGAAAUGGAUACAGCUGAAAACUCCAUCUGACUGAAAAAGAAUUUGAGCUUCAUCACUGACGACUUGAUGGCAUGCCAGACCCCUGCCAGCCAGUGUCACUUUGUAGGGACUAGUCUCCCAGUUUUCCCCAUAAGGUGAUUGAGCUUGCCGGAGAGAUACAAAGAAAGGGCUGCAGCUGCCCCAAGGCCUUUGUACCAACAUUUUCCUGUUGACCUCCAGCUAUUCAUUGAGGCCUUCAGUCAAGUGUCACCUGAGGGUGGGCACCCAGGUGAACUACCGCCACCGCCGCCUUCCACCGCGGUCUUCGGUGGCACACAGCACUGCGUUGUUACUGCCCCUGCCAUCUGCCCUCACACAGUAGCAUGAAGCCCGCUGGGAGCAGGGACUUGUUCACCGCCGGGUGCCAGCGCAGG